UAUUUUGUUUCUUGCCUUUUCUGGAAUUCAAGCUGUCAGCUCUUGCUCUGCUAACAAUGUGGGCUAGGAGCUGGAGUACAUUCAGACCACUAAGGAACACUACAGGCACGGAUGCCUUCCACAACACCAGCGGAAAUGAGACGGCAGACUGUGAAAAGAAGUCACGUUCUGUCAUAAACAUACCAAGAUUCUCUCCACGAACUGUGGAUAAGAAACCACCACAGAGCCCUCCAAGAAGACAGACACAUGGAGAAAAGGGGACCGAGACUGGGCUCGGAGCAGGGAAAACACAGCAAAGAUCAAGAUUAUCCUGAGUGCUGCCCUGCUCCAGUGACAUCACCAGGGCGUAACAGCAAGGAAAAUGGUAAUCCUCAGUGUCAGCCACGGCGCCAUGAGGCCCCACAGACACAGACAGACGCUCAAGCACACGAUGGAGUCCCUCCAUAGUCUCUGUUCUUGUAACUCGUACCCCAGCAGUCCUC
rnacentral:lncRNA from 1 species